rnacentral:rRNA from 1 species
CCUACGGGAGGCAGCAGUGGGGGAUAUUGCACAAUGGGGGGAAACCCUGAUGCAGCGACGCCGCGUGGAGGAAGAAGGUUUUCGGAUUGUAAACUCCUGUCGUUAGGGACGAUAAUGACGGUACCUAACAAGAAAGCACCGGCUAACUACGUGCCAGCAG